UAAUGAACCCAAUCCGGAUAAAGAGAAACACCAGUUGUUAUGGAAACGCGUUGUUUCUGAUUUAGGGUUCAACCCGUUCUUAAUCUCCCCCAUUCGAGAGCUAAUCUCAACCUAAGGUUUCUCUGGUGUUGUUUCAUCUUCUUCCUAACAAUCCGAGAAACUAUCAGUUACAGAUUCAUCCUCUUAAAUCCACCACCCACGAUCUACCUUGAAUCCGAUCUUCACGCAAGGCCGUGGAACUGCGACUAUAAAAAAACCGGACGAGUACGGCACAAUAGGAGGAGGAAAGCGGUAGCGACGGAGGAGAGGAGGAUCAAGGCAAUGAGGGACCAGCCGUGUCCGGUUUGAAUCCGGUUGUUUAUUGCAACACUCAUUCCAGUGUUCAUUGUCUUCCCACCUACAAGUGACUGGGUUCUAUGUUUUACUUUGAUUUCACUUGGUGUAAUCAGAACUUUUGACUGUCAGACUCUCUUCAAUUGAUGCGGUCCAGUGAUGAACCCGGUUUGAUGAGUUAACCAAACCGAUUACACCCAUUCCUGAAGAACACUUCGGGUUCCUUAAUCACAGUGAACGGUCACUGUAUGAACUCCAAGAGUUUCUGAAACCAAGCGUAAGGAGAACAGCAGUUUGAGGAAGGAAUGGUAGAGUUUAUUGGACUGCUGAAGAUGGCUGUCAAGGAAGGUAUUAACUUAGCUAUCAGGACUUGAUGUGAAGUGAUCCUUAUGUUGUUUUCAAUCUAGGGAAGCAACAAGUUGAUAUCUAGCCUCUGAUACAUUCUGUGCUGAUGACAUAAUGGGAGAAGCUCAACUUGAUAUCCAGCCUCUGAUAACAUCUGCAAUGGCGUUUGGGGAUCCAUAGAUGUUUGGAGAUAUUCAGAUUGGGAAAUGGCUAAAGUUGCAUGAUAAUCCGCCAAUAGAUGACAACAUCAUUAACAUUGUUGAUGGGAAAGUGAAGCAUGCAGGAGGUUUAGAUCAAGCUUCAGGGUGUAAAGUCUGUAGAAUUAGAGCUGGAAAUGGAAUGGCUGCCACUUGACCAAUAAUACUAAUACCUGUAGAUUCCACUUUAUAAACUUACACUUUUUGCAAUAAGUACAUUGAUUUUUUUUGUUGAAACAUUUUUAGAUCUCUCAUUUCUUUACACAAAAAUAUUUGUUUGUAAUGUUUUGUUUCUUGGUGGUUAUAUCUUACAAAGUUA